AUUGAACGCUGGCGGCAGGCCUAACACAUGCAAGUCGAACGAGUCGCGGACGGGUGUGUAAUGUCUGGGACCCUGCUUGAUGGUGGGGGAUAAUAACUGGAACCGGUACCUAAUACCGCAUACCUUCCGAUUGGCACAGAUGGGCUUAGUUAGUAGGUGGGGUAACGGCUCACCUAGGCAACGAUCCCUAGCUGGUUGGAGAGGAUGACCAGCCACACGGGAACGGAGACACGGCCCAGACCCCUACGGGAGGCAGAAGUGGGGAAUAUUGCACAUUGGACGCAGGCCUGACGCAGACCUGCCGCGGGGAGGAAAAAGGCUUGCGGGUUUUAAAGUACUUUCAGCGGGGAGGCGGUACCCGCAGAAGAAGCACCGGCUAACUCCGUGCCAGCCGCCGCGGUAAUAC
rnacentral:rRNA from 1 species